UACGAAGGGGGCUAGCGUUGUUCGGAAUCACUGGGCGUAAAGGGCGCGUAGGCGGCCGAUCAAGUCGGGGGUGAAAGCCUGUGGCUCAACCACAGAAUUGCCUUCGAUACUGUUUGGCUUGAGACCGGAAGAGGUAAGUGGAACUGCGAAGUGUAGAGGUGAAAUUCGUAGAUAUUCGCAAGAACACCGGUGGCGAAGGCGGCCAUCUGGACAGAUACUGACGCUGGAGACG
rnacentral:rRNA from 1 species